ensembl:lncRNA
CUCGACCCAGUGAUCGAAUCCAGGCCUCCCGCAUUGCAGGCGGAUUCUUUACCAGCUGAGCCACAAGGGAAAUUUCAAAACUAUCUGAAGUGAAACUCUGUUCAGAGCAAAGAUAGUUUCAGAAGCUUUCUUGAAGCACUCAGAUUGCAGAAGGGGAGAAAGAAAUGUGUGCAUUUACUGUUCUCUUGACUCUUAAGACUUGAAGCCUCCCUUCCAUUUUCCAGGUGGGAAUGGAACAUCCGUGCUGGAGUGCUUGACUAGGAGAACUUCUUGUUCUAUGUCAUAGCUGUUCCAACCUCGGUUAGUCUUUUAUUCUGGAACCUGUGACUCACUGGCUGAGGGUGGCGCUAGUGGUAAAGAAUCCACCUGCCAAUGCAAGAGAUGUAAAAGAUGUGGGUUCAAUCCCUGGGUCGGGAAGAUCCCCUGAAGGAGGAAACAGCAGAUCCCCUGAAGGAGGAAAGAGCAACCCACUCCAGUAUUCUUGCCUGGAAAAUUCCACGGACAGAGGAACCUGGUGGGCUACAGUCCAUGGGGUCCCACAGAGUCGGACACGACUGAGUGUCUCAGCACAUAAAUGUACAUAUAUACAUGAAAUAUUAUUCAGCCACAAAAAGAAAGAAAUUCUGCCAUAUGCCACACCAUGGAUGAACCUAGAGGACAUCAUGCUAAGAAAAUAAACCAGUCACAGAAAGACAAUUACCACAAGAUUCUACUUACAUGAGGGGCGGGAAUGUGAGGACGUUCACAUGCUGACCUUCCUGAAAUGAGCUGAAACACAAGCGCUUCACCGUGAAACAGAUGGUGCACUAAGGCUAAAUUUUCCCAGAUUAAAAAAGAAGAAGAGAAAUGUGUUAUAAGUGCUAAAGGAACCAAACGUGGAAGAAGACCAAGGAUUAAAAGGAACAGAGCUAUAAACUGGAUCAAAUUUUUUCCUUUGUAGAAAAUAAUGGCUUCCCUGGUGGCUCAGAGGGUAAUCUGCUUGCAAUGCAGGAGACCUGGGUUCGAUCCCUGGGUCAGGAAGAUCCCCUGGAGAAGGAAAUGGCAACAAACUCUGGUACUCCUGCCUGGAAAAACCCAUGGAUGGAGAAGCCUGGUAGGCUACAGUCCAUGGGGUCACAAAGAGCCGGAUAUGACUGAGCGACUUCACUUUCUUUUGCAUUGUCUUAUCCAAGACAUUCUUUUGCAUUGUCUUAACUCCAGUACUUUGGCCACCUCAUGCAAAGAGUUGACUCAUUGGAAAAGACUCUGAUGCUGGGAGGGAUUGGGGGCAGGAGGAGAAGGGGAUGACAGAGGAUGAGAUGGCUGGGUGGCAUUACUGACUCGAUGGACCUAAGUCUCAGUGAACUCCGGGAGUUGGUGAUGGACAGGGAGACUUGGCGUGCUGUGAUUCAUGGGGUCGCAAAGAGUCGGACAUGACUGAGCGACUGAUCUGAUCUGAUCCAAGGCAUUUACAGUCUCUGCUUUGCUUUAGGCAUUUAUUCCCAAAGACUUGUAAAUUUGUUGUCCUGUAUGUCCCAGGGGCCUUUCAUACCUCAGCCUUAAUGUAUCAAUACUGAGUUCAUGAUCUGAAUACAACUUCAUGCAAACUUUUUUCUCUUCUGGAGUUUCAGUAUUGGUUAAUGAUAUAGCCAUCCACCCAUUUCCAGGCUGGAAUACCUUUCUCCUUCACCUGCAUCCCAUCACCAAAUACUGCCAACUCUCACAUUUUCAAAUUCAGACUCUAGUGGCCACUGGAAUCACCAUCUCUACCUGAGCAUGUCACCACUCUGUGUUAAACCUCCACUGGCUCCUUAAGAGACUAGGGCUUAACUGUUCUCAACACAAACAAGCAAGGAUAACUAUGUGACAUGCUAAAGGUGUUAGCUAAUGCCUCUGUAGUAACUGUAUCAUGACAUAUAAAUAUAUCAAGCCAACACAUUGUAUACUUUGACCCUGCACAGUGUUAUGUAUCUGUUAUAUCUCAACUUUAAAACAACAACAAACAAGUGAAAAACCUCUCCCUGGCUCCUGAUGAUAUUCUAUGAGUUUUCUGUGGUUGCCAUAACAAAUUACCACAAACUGAGUGGGUUAAAACAACGCGAAUGAUUGGCUCCUGUGCAUGUAUGUUAGUCACUCAGUCAUAUCCAACUCUGCGGCUCCAUGGACUGUAGCCCACCAGGCUCCUCUUUCCAUGGAGUUCUCCAGGCAAGAAUACUGGAGUGGGUUGCCAUUCUCUUCUCCAGGAAUCUUCCCUACCCAGGAACUGAAUCUGGGCCUCCUGCAUUGCAGGAAGAUUCUUUACUGUCUGAGUCACCAGGGAAGCCCAAAUGAUUGGUUACCUCACAGUUUUCUAGGUCACAAGUCUGACCCGGGUCUUACUUGGUUAAAAUCAAGGUGUUAGCCAGGCUAUGUUUCUUCCUUUAGACUCUAGGGGAGAACUGCUUUCCUGCUCAUUUGGGUUGUUGGCAGAAUUCAGUUCCCUGUGGUUGUAGGACCAAGGUCUCAUUUCCUUGCUGGCUUUUGGCAGGGAGUUUAUUCUCAGCAUCAGGAAGCUGCCCACAUUCCUUGGUUUGUGGCUUCCAUCCUCCAUCUUCAAAGCCAGCCACGUCUGGUCAAAUCCUUCUCAUGCUGAAUUUCAUUUCUCUGACCCUUCUUCCAUCCUCACAUUUCUCUCUGACCCAGCUGGAAAGACUCAGUUUUUAAAGACUCAUGUGAUUAGACUGGCAUAAUCCAAGAUAAUCUCCCCAUCUCCAGGUCCUUAACCUUAAGCACUUUGCGAAAUUCCCUUUGCCACAUAAAGUAACAUAGUCACAGGUUCAGGGGAGGAGGAUGGUGACACCUUUAGGAACCAUUAUUUUGCAUUCCAGAAGUGUGAUGUAGUUUUAGGAAAGCCAAUAGGUAAACUCACUCUUCUUCCAAAUCAAAAAAACAAUUGAGAGAGAAAAUGCGGAAGUCAGACAGACUGCAGGGCAUAGAAAUAGCAGCUUCCUUAGUGAUAAAGCUGUUUUAGAGAUGUUGACUUUAGACUCACGGCAAAAAGCCUUUCUAAUACGCCAUCCCUGAAUUAGCUUGUAGUCACAGCUCAUAGGAGCAGACACAAGCUCCUGUAAAGAUCUCAGUGGAGGAGCAGAGUGUUUGAACUGCGCACGUUCAGUUUCAUCCCCAAAUUUUUGAACCUUCCAACUUUGCAGAGAUGAGUGUGAAGUGGGACAGUGUGGUGAGAGGACAGUGAAAGUUCUCUACGGAAACAUGGUGGAAGGAGACUAAAAGUGACAUAAUUUUAGCUACCAUUUCUUAAACAGUUAGUAUGCGCCAGAUAUUUCACAUACUCUAUUGUCAAUAUGCCACCAAUCAUGCAAGAUGGAUAUUAUUAAAUAGUAAACAAUUUGCUUGACUCAUCACAGUCUGCCAACUGAAUCCAUACCUCAAGUACUAUAUUUUUCAGAAUAGAACCACACUCACUACUUUAUCUCCAGCCAAUGCCUUUCUUGUAUUCAGCAUCCCAUUGACUAGGUCUUCUUACUGUUCCUCUGAAACACACCAACUUUCUUUUUAGACCAUCUCUUUUCUAUUUAGACCAUCUCAAUGGCAACCCACUCCAGUAUUCUUGCCUGGAGAAUCCCAGGGACGGGGGAGCCUGGUGGGCUGCCUUCUAUGGGGUCGCACGGAGUCAGACAUGACUGAAGCGACUUAGCAGCAGCAGCAGCUGCAGUCUUUCUGUGGUAAACUCUUAUUCCUCCUUUAAGACAAUGUGGUAUAUCUCCUCUGGAGACAGCUCUGUACCUCUCUCCAGACUCCCUUUUCUGGAGGUCAUACCUGUGAGUGUAUCUUCAAUGUCUCACACACUGGCAUAAUAGAAUUUAGGCAUAAAUUCUAUAAUAGGAUUUGGGUAUAAUAGAAUUUCACUGAAUGUUAUUAUAUGAAUGUAAUGGG